UGUAUUUUCCCGCCAUCUUAAUUUCUAUUUUUAGAUAUUAGACAAAGGGUUAAUUUUAAAUAUUCCAAAUUCCUAUUUUUAGAUCAAAACGGCCGCCUUCUUCACAAGAUAAAUAGGAACCUGAGGAUUGGAAAGAUAAGUCUCCAAUAAUUGGUUUAAUGUUGAUAAUCAUGAGUUUUUUCUUACCUAUUUCCUAGGCUGUAUUAUUUCUCUAAACAACAAGCUGACACUCGUAGGGCACUGGCACUAAAGGGGGCUGGGGCUUGGCUAUUAGGGGCGGGGCCAGGGGCCAUUAGUCUAUCUAUGCCAUCACCUAUCAUGACCUAUGGCUAAUGAUCUGUACGUUGCUGCAGUGUUGUAUGCAGUUAAUUUUUGACUGAAAUCAAAUACUGUCUACACAUACAGAACUUGAUGGUACUCAGUCUGCUCCCUGGUAUUGACCAAAAAACUUACAGCUGUUUUCCUGUCUGCCCAGUUUGUUUACUGAUUAAAAUGUUAAUUAUUGCUAAAAUUAAUUAAAUUAUCAUAAGUAAUAGACCCCUCCCCAA